rnacentral:rRNA from 1 species
AGCUUGCUUCCAGGCGUCGAGCGGCGGACGGGUGAGUAAUGCAUGGGAAUCUGCCCGAUAGUGGGGGAUAACCUGGGGAAACCCAGGCUAAUACCGCAUACGUCCUACGGGAGAAAGCAGGGGAUCUUCGGACCUUGCGCUAUCGGAUGAGCCCAUGUCGGAUUAGCUUGUUGGUGAGGUAAUGGCUCACCAAGGCGACGAUCCGUAGCUGGUCUGAGAGGAUGAUCAGCCACAUCGGGACUGAGACACGGCCCGAACUCCUACGGGAGGCAGCAGUGGGGAAUAUUGGACAAUGGGCGAAAGCCUGAUCCAGCCAUGCCGCGUGUGUGAAGAAGGCCUUCGGGUUGUAAAGCACUUUCAGUGGGGAAGAAGGCCUUGGGAUUAAUACUCCCGAGGAAGGACAUCACCCACAGAAGAAGCACCGGCUAACUCCGUGCCAGCAGCCGCGGUAAUACGGAGGGUGCGAGCGUUAAUCGGAAUUGCUGGGCGUAAAGCGCGCGUAGGCGGUCUGAUAAGCCGGUUGUGAAAGCCCC